ensembl:lncRNA
CGGUCGUUCCUACCGCGGGGGGCGAGUCUGACGGUCAAGUUCGCCAGAUGCGUUUGCGUCUGUGGUUUCUAUUGAAAAUUGAAUGCAAUUUCGAUUCGAAAUAGAACCAAACGACGACACGCCUUUAAGCACGUCGGAAAGGAAAUCAGAAAUGGCGUUUGCUGCGACGUUCCGGCGCGCCGCUAGAACGCCGUCGGGUUCGUACCGCCGUUCCUGCUGCGCAAAGACAUACGUAUAUAUUUAUUCUUAUUUGUUUAAUCUAUUAUGUAGUUAAAUGACUUUUGGUAUACUUCUAACUCUCCGUGCCGCUGUAAUAGGUGAAUUUCCCCUCUGGAUGAAUAAAAUGUUCUAUCUAUCUAACUAGCUAUCUAGCUGAGGGUCACACACAGGAACAGGAACAAUGCCGUCCUUUCACUGAAGCCGUGAGGCAGUAGGACCCAGCGAUCUGCUGCCGCCUCUUCUGCCCUCCUCUUCAGGCUCCUCUAGUUCCAGAGCUGAGCGAGACAGGAGAACAGAGUGCAGAGAGAGAAGGAGGGGGAAAGACUGAGAGAAAGAGAGAGCGAGAGAGAGAGAGAGAGAGAGAGAGAGAGAGAGAAGCGGCGUGAAUGUUCAAGCCCACUGUGCUCCCUGCUACAAUCCUGAAUCUGUGGAAUGGACGGAUUAACCCGUGGGAUUUAAACAUUUUGGAGCUGGAGCUGAAGCUCAUGAGGAGGCGUCCAAUCAGGAGAAGAUCGGGAUUCAAAGAAAUCCGAUACCUUGACAGUCCCUCUCCGGCUGGGGUCCUUCUUAUUGUCAUCACAGCGCAUGAGGAAAGCCACGACCUCGCGUCUCGAGCUCCGGCUCAACCUACGCAUGCGCCGGACCAAAACGUGCUUCAUAUUCAAAUGUCAUGCAGAUUCGUGUGUAGAAAGCGGCUAUUAUAUCCCCGACACGGUUGUCAGUGCGGUCGGAUCGGCUCCGGGUGCGAGCUCCGAGCGUGUCCGUUUACAAUCGUGAGGUCUUUUCAGGGCUUUAAUGCGGCUUUAGACUCCAGCGCUCAGCCUCCGAGAUGUAUUCGCAUCGUAGUAGACGGGCCGUUCCCAAAGGUUCCCCAGCG